GUGUAGGUGGGGAUAACGUAGCGAAAGUUUACGCUAAUACCGCAUACGCACUGAGGUGGAAAGCAGGGGAUCGCAAGACCUUGCGCUAUACGAGCGGCCGAUGUCAGAUUAGCUAGUUGGUAGGGUAAAGGCCUACCAAGGCGACGAUCUGUAGCGGGUCUGAGAGGAUGAUCCGCCACACUGGGACUGAGACACGGCCCAGACUCCUACGGGAGGCAGCAGUGGGGAAUUUUGGACAAUGGGCGAAAGCCUGAUCCAGCCAUGCCGCGUGAGUGAAGAAGGCCUUCGGGUUGUAAAGCUCUUUCGGCUGGGAAGAAAUCGCACAGGCUAAUACUCUGUGUGGAUGACGGUACCAGCACAAGAAGCACCGGCUAACUACGUG
rnacentral:rRNA from 1 species